rnacentral:lncRNA from 1 species
GUGGGAUGCAGCUAGAAGGGUCACUUUCUACAGUUUACUGACAAAACAUAUUUUGCUGUUAAUUCGACAAUCUGACUAAAGUAUGACUUCACUUGAUAUGCUGAAAUAAAAACUCGGUAAUUCACGAAACCGUGCCUGGUCCUGUGUUUUCAGUCGCUAAAACGUUAGGCCUGUCUGUGCGUUUCUGUGUGUGUAUGUGUGUUGUGUGAUGACGCGAUGAUCCGCAAGCCAUAGAGGGAUCGAUGGAGACUGGUAUAGAUGGAGACAUACCGAUAGAGGGACGGAAGACAUCGUGGCACUAGAACUGUAGUGUAUGGGAAUAUCAAGUAGAGAGAGAAAGAGAUAAAUAUAGCUUCAACAACGAGAGAGAUAGUGAGAGAGAGAGAGAGAGAGAGAGAGAACACGGGCUGUGAAUUCGCGGACGACAUGAGAUCUCUACAUGAAUAGUAUAAAAUGUUUUAAAACUCAGCGUUUUGCCUUACAAACGUGUUGUCCGGAGACAGCCACUAAAACAGGACUACACAUCAAGUUCAGGCAGUAGGGGGCAGCAUGCCUGAGCAGAGUAAUGACUACAGGGUGGUGGUGUUUGGAGCGGGGGGAGUGGGGAAGAGCUCCCUGGUCCUACGCUUCGUUAAAGGCACCUUCAGGGACACCUAUAUUCCCACUGUGGAGGACACCUAUCGACAGGUGAGACAGGGACACCUAUAUUCCCACUGUGGAGGACACCUAUCGACAGGUGAGACAGGGACACCUAUAUUCCCACUGUGGAGGACACCUAUCGACAGGUGAUCAGCUGUGAUAAGAGUGUGUGUACUCUCCAGAUAACUGAUACAACAGGCAGUCACCAGUUCCCUGCCAUGCAGAGGCUGUCCAUAUCUAAAGGACAUGCCUUCAUACUGGUCUACUCUGUAACCAGCAAACAGUCACUGGAAGAACUGAAGCCUAUCUACCAACAGGUGAUAGCCAUAAAGGGGAACAUAGAGGCCAUCCCCAUCAUGUUGGUGGGCAACAAGAGUGAUGAGACCCAGAGAGAGGUGGAGACUAAAGAUGGAGAGGCACAGGCGACCACGUGGAAGUGUGCGUUCAUGGAGACGUCAGCGAAGACCAACCACAACGUGACCGAGCUGUUCCAGGAGCUGCUCAACCUGGACAAGAAGAGAAACAUGAGUCUCAACAUCGACGGGAAACGGUCCGGAAAACAGUCCAGAGCCGAGAGACUGAAGGGAAAAUGUAGUGUGAUGUAGAGAAGAGGAGAGAGGGAUGGAGAGGAGAGAAGGAAGGAAGGGAGGUAACAAGGAAGACAGAAAGUGUGAGGAUAGAAGAGAAGGAAUGGGAGAGGGAGAGAAAGAGAAGAGAGUGAAGAGAGGACCACUGGUGGGUUCUAUACCUCUCCCUCUCAGUAUCCUCCUCUCUCUUUUCCUGUCUGCCUGACCAGGGUCCUAACCCUCCAUACAGUCCCACUGUAGUGAAAAGAUUUGGGGGGUAUUCUGAACACGACUCCAACCCGCAACCCUGCAUCUGUCUGCAUCAGUCCAACACCUCAGCCAUUACGCCGUGAGGUCCCAACCUCUUGGCGAGGUCACUAGAUGUUACACUAGGGACACUCCAACAUAACGUACAUAUCCUAUGUAUACAUGGCCUCCCUCUCUAGCACCUCUGAAAGAUACAGACAGUAUUACCCCCUAGCCGUGUCUAACUGUCAUCAUGCAAAGUGGAGAAUCCUCUUAACUCGUCAUUCAAAAUGGCUUCUAAAUCAUUAUUUGAACUGGAGAAACGUUGAACUUGUGAGAUCAAGACUUUAGCUCAGUGUUAAAACAAGGGAAGGACCGUGGUUCACGUCUGACCUGGAAUCCGAGGAAACAGAACCCGGGAAAGAAAGAUGUGGUAGUUGGACUGAAAUGUUAAUAAGAAGUCUGCCUGGGACACUUGGUAGUUGGACUGAAAUGUUAAGAAGUCUGCCUGGGACACUUGGUAGUUGGACUGAAAUGUUAAGAAGUCUGCCUGGGACACUUGGUAGUUGGACUGAAAUGUUAAGAAGUCUGCCUGGGACACUUGGUAGUUGGACUGAAAUGUUAAGAAGUCUACCUGAGACACUUGGUAGUUGGACUGAAAUGUUAAGAAGUCUGCCUGGGACACUUGGUAGUUGGACUGAAAUGUUAAGAAGUCUGCCUGAGACACUUGGUAGUUGGACUGAAAUGUUAAGAAGUCUGCCUGGGACACUUGGUAGUUGGACUGAAAUGUUAAGAAGUCUGCCUGAGACACUUGGUAGUUGGACUGAAAUAUUAAGAAGUCUGCCUGGGACACUUGGUAGUUGGACUGAAAUGUUAAGAAGUCUGCCUGGGACACUUGGUAGUUGGAUUGAAAUGUUAAGAAGUCUGCCUGGGACACUUGGUAGUUGGAUUGAAAUGUUAAGAAGUCUGCCUGGGACACUUGGUAGUUGGACUGAAAUAUUAAGUCUGCCUGGGACACUUGGUAGUUGGAUUGAAAUGUUAAGAAGUCUGCCUGGGACACUUGGUAGUUGGACUGAAAUGUUAAGAAGUCUGCCUGGGACACUUGGUAGUUGGACUGAAAUGUUAAGAAGUCUGCCUGGGACACUUGGUAGUUGGACUGAAAUGUUAAGAAGUCUACCUGGGACACUUGGUAGUUGGACUGAAAUGUUAAGAAGUCUGCCUGGGACACUUGGUAGUUGGACUGAAAUGUUAAGAAGUCUCCCUGGGACACUUGGUAGUUGGACUUUGGUUGGAUGGAUGAUGGAGUGGACUUGGAACAUGUGAAGAGGUAUUAGAAAAGUUUGUUGUGGGAUUUGGACUGGGACUACUGCGGAUGAUGUCACUGGGAAUGUUUGCGUCGGUUGGCUUUGGCCCUUGUUGUUUCAUGUGAGGAGCCUUUCUGUUGGCCUUGUGUUUCCCAUGCCAAGCAGCUGAAUCCUCUUCAUACACAGAGAAGCACAGACAGGAUGGAGUGACGACUCUGCUCGACGGAGGAAAGACACUCGAUUAGUUUUAUGCCAUGCAAAUACCAUCACAUUGCACUUAAUGUCACACACACAAAGAUAAAUGCACACAUACACGCUUUUUGGAGACCAGUGGUCAUUCACCAAGUGUAUUCCUACAUAGUAUGUAAAUGAAAAAGGAGUGAUAUUAUUAUGUAAAUGUAAUUAUAUUAUUGUCCCAAACACCUCUAUUGGUUUAUGUAAAGCAAUAAGGUUGUUUGUCAAAGUACAGAAUAUAUACUCCAGGUGGAAGUUGCCCCUAAGCGCAGAUCUAGGAUCAGCUUACUCCCCAAAUCAUAACUUUAACCAUUAGAGGGGAAUGCAAAACUGAUCUUAGAUCAGCAUUUAUGGACAAAGUCAUCCUACUUCUUACUAUACAGGAGAGCUAAAAGCACAAUCAUUUGAUUGACGUUUUGUUUUUGUUUUACCAUGUUCCGUUAUCUAUCUUGCAGAAUAAAUAACGGCCAAUAUAUUUUGAACAGAGGUGGGGGAAGGAGGGAGGAGCUAUCCAGUAGUUAUUAUUCCAGGUGACUUGUAAUGUGUACAGUGUACGGUAUUUAAACGUGUGUAAAGGUCACCAUAAGGCUGUGGAUUGGUUAUAUAGCACGGUAUUGUAACGAAACAGACAAAAGGCUAAGCUGCAUCGCAAAUGGCACCCUAUUCCCUAUACAGUGCACUACUUUUUGACCAGAGCCCAUAUGCUCUGAUCUAAAGUAAUUCACUAUAUAGGGUACCAUUUUGAACACACUAUGUGAGGGAACCCAGAUCUAAACUGUCUUUCUGGAAUAACACCGUUGGACCCAAAGAAGUAGAAAACACCCCUUCAUAUCUCUCUCUAGUAAAGAAGCACGGAAUUGAUUAGAGUUUCAACCAGGGAUUGGAGUUCAUUUUCAAUUCAGAAUAUUCAUUGAAAUGCUGUUCAUGAAAGGAAAAAUCUGUCAUUGAAUAACAAUGGGCAAAUUGAAUAGACUGAAUUAGAAAGAGGAAGGUCCCCAUCCCUGGUGGCCACUGUGUAUAGGGUAUUGAGAAGGUACGUUGUGUUGCUAUGUGCUGUGUUAUAUUUAUGGCCCAAAUGUUUUCCUGACCUCAUGCCCUGACCAGGAAAACGCUGAUCCCCAGUUGUAGGCUAUAGCUAAGGCUCAGAGUUGUUGUUGUUCAGAUCACAUGCUCAGGAAAAGGUCCUGUAUCUGAUUAGAAAACAGUGUUAUAGUGCAGUAUUACACUAGAACUAUAAUAUAGUAUACAGUCAUCUAUUAUUCAGAUCAGAUUGACAUAACCCACAUUUUAAUGAAUUAUGUGAAAUGUUCUACAUCAAAUAGUAUCAAACUAGUGUGUGUGUGUGUGUGUGUGUGUGUGUGUGUGUGUGUGUGUGUGUGUGUGUGUGUGUGUGUGUGUGUGUGUGUGUGUGUGUGUGUGUGUGUGUGUGUGUGUGUACAGUGCACUCAAUAGUGUUAGUUUGAAUCAGCACAGACACCUUUACCCUAUCCUCCCACAAUAUUCAGUGUGUGUGUUAAUGUGGUUUUAUGAAGUGUCUGUCAGAGGUUCCUUGUGGAGAUGACCCACACGUUCUGCAUGAGUCACACUGCUCAGGCUCAUGCACACACACACACAUACACACACGUACUGUACACAGUACACACCAAGCAGACAGCGAGCAGUCCUCUGUGCCACAGAAACCUCAUUAUCUGCGUCUCAUGCGGCACCCUAUCCCCCGAUGUGAUUCUGGUCAAAAGUAGUGCACUACAUAGGGAAUAGGGUGUCGUGAGGUUUGCACAUUGUCUCUUUUUCUGCACUACUGUGUCACCCUGUAACCCGUCUGUUGUACGGUUCCUAUUAGUUUUACCACUUCCCUUCACUCCACAUCUGUAGAUAGCUGUAAAUAGCAAUUAGAGUGAUAUAGCUGGAGGUGGAUAGAGGAUUUAGAAAUGUUAGGGAAUGGAGACAUCAUGGCCCCCUUUGCCCUCCUCAAAGGAUUGUGGGUAGUGUGGUUCUCUUAGGAGUGAAAAGAUAGAGCUGCCAACUGUGAUUCCACAGAACGUUAUUAUAAUCAGAGAAGGGAUGGGCCCUGAGGAAGAUCUCUCACCUCAUUGGUUGAACACCUGGGGGACUGGCCAGAGCCCAAAUGGGCAGAGUCCUCCAGAAAUGAACCAAUGAGAGGGUUUCUUUUUUCACGUGUGUAGUUUAGAGUGCUGGAUCCUGUCUUGAGAUCCACACACAAAACUAGACUUUCCUCACAAAUAUAUCAAUAACAUGAUUUACGUGAAAGUCUGAUUUUGUUGUAUGUCAAGUUAGGAAUGGGUUCAGAGAGCAUUCCUAUAAUGACUCAUGAAUGGACAAAGAGGCUGCUGUAUGGCUGAAUCAAAACCAAGAUAGAAACACACAGAACAGAGCUGAUAUGAUUCUAGAAUAGAUUAUACAAGCCAGAUAGUUGUCUGUUCUACGUAGUUUCUACCUGAAAAAGACCCUACAGCCUUUCACUGAUGUGUGUUAUCAGAAAGUCAUGUAGCUGGAAAAUGGGCAAUGAUCAUGUUGCAGAAGAGAAGUGGCACAAAGGACUAUGGGAAGAGUAGUUCAUUGAGUGUAGUUAAUCAGAAACAUGUUCUAUAAACUCAAGCCUACCAAGGAUGCAGUUUGUAAUUUUUGCAUCCCCCUAGAUCAUACUAUCAGCCCAGAAACAACUCCUAGCCCCUAGCAGUUCAAAUACCUGAAGGGACUGGAUAGAGGACAAGGUUAACUAUUAGGCUUUGGGGAACUUCCACCAUAUUGUUUACGCUUGUCUGCUCUGCCAAACACAAAACGUGGAAGUGCCUCCAAGUUGUUUCUGGACCGGGCCUCUGAGGGGUGCAAUGACUUCUGGGCAGUGUAGUUCUACUAACCUCCAUCUCUGUCCUUCCCUCCCUGCAUGGCCCCAAUAAGUGUUCCUCCCAGCCAGCAUGAGAACCAAUAAGGACGCAAACUGUGAAAUUAACAUAUUUGUAUUUUAUUAUUAUAAUUCUUCUGCAUUAAUAAUGUCUUUGGUUUGAAAAGUGUAACUGUUUUUAAUCUCUUAUUGUUUUUGUAAACAUGUUUUUUGUUUGGACAUUUUUUUUAACAUAAUGAUCAUGUAUAGACAUUUUAUUAUUUUAUUUUUAAUAUAGUUAUUAUUAGAAUUAUUCUAGCUAUUUAUUCUAGCAAUAGUCUUCCUACUAUAAUGUACUGUGGCAAUGCAUCCUAACUAUAAGAUAUCAUGUAUAUGACGAAAUUAUCAUAUCGAAUCUGCAAAAGGAUUUUCCUAAUAAAAACAACAGUUAAGAAUC